AUAUUUUUUCUGUAUUUUUUUUUUCAUCCUCAAUCUUCUCCAUCGCGUGUGCUUCCAUUUUCCAUGGCUAAGCCGAAGGCUCAAAGGCGAACCCUAGAGUCAUACUCAGUCAAACACAUAAGCAAAACCAUUAAAGCUGGCGAUUGCGUGCUCAUGCGGCCUUCCGAUCCGUCGAAACCGUCGUACGUGGCGAAGAUCGAGCGGAUCGAAGCCGACGCGCGAGGCGCGAACGUGAAGAUUCACGUACGGUGGUACUAUCGGCCGGAGGAGUCAAUCGGCGGUCGCCGCCAGUUUCACGGUUCCAAAGAGGUUUUCCUCUCCGAUCACUUCGACGUUCAGAGCGCCGACACCAUCGAAGGCAAGUGUACGGUCCACAGUUUCAAGAGCUACACGAAGCUCGAUGCCGUCGGAAACGACGAUUUCUUCUGCCGUUUCGAGUACAAUUCCUCCUCCGGCGCCUUCAAUCCUGAUAGAGUCGCCGUGUAUUGUAAAUGUGAGAUGCCUUACAAUCCUGAUGACCUAAUGGUCCAAUGCGAGGGCUGCAGUGACUGGUUCCAUCCUGCUUGUAUAGACAUGACUGUGGAGGAAGCCAAAAGACUUGACCACUUCUUUUGUGAAAGUUGUUCUGCCGAAGAACUUAAUACCAUUUGAAUUGACUCGCCGAGGCUUUGGAGAAGUUGAUAUCUUCAUCUAUUAUCUAUUGGUGGAUACUAAACGCCGUCGUAGGUAAUAGUUUGAUAGUAUAUAAAGCAUAAAAUGAGUUAGAUCUAUAAUGGAUGUACUGGAGAUCUUGCUAUUCUAAUCCUGAGUAGGGGCCAAACAAACACUGAGACAAAGUUAUCUAGUAGUAAGCUGUAGUCUUUCUACUUUCAUGGAAAGAGACUAGUUUGGAAAUGUUUGACAUGUCUAUUUGGUGUGAGUACUCAUCUUGUUUCCUUUGGAAGUGGAGGACGUGUUUAUGUAAUUAUAUAAUGUAGAUUCUGUCUCUCUUCUCUUCUGGUCCUUGUUCUGACUCGGACUUUUGUAAAGUAUUUUGACUUAUUUAUGAGCAGUAGACACUUUAUUCUUU